UAGCAAAUACAGGGCCCUGAGUUCAAACCUUAAUGCUGUCAAAAAGAAGGUGGGCAGGGGCAGAGGCCAAGAUAAAUUUGCUUAGCUAUUUAUCUACCACACAAAUCCACAAAACAUACAUGAUUUAUUCAAUAAAAUUUCAUAACUUAAUCAUCUUGAUUUAAACGUAAGACGGUAGGUAGUUGAAUAGUAAUAGAUAGGUUUUUAAAAGAUACAUGUGAAAGUAU